rnacentral:rRNA from 1 species
UACAGAGGUGGCAAGCGUUGUUCGGAAUUACUGGGCGUAAAGCGCGCGUAGGCGGCCAUCUAAGUCAGACGUGAAAUCCCCCGGCUUAACCCUGGAACUGCGUCUGAUACUGGACGGCUGGAGUUUGGGAGAGGGAUGUAGAAUUCCAGGUGUAGCGGUGAAAUGCGUAGAUAUCGAGAGGAACACCUGCGGCGAAGGCGGGUUGCUGGGCUGAUACUGACGCUGAGGCGCGAAAGCCAGGGGAGCGAACGGG